rnacentral:rRNA from 1 species
AUUGAACGCUGGCGGCAGGCCUAACACAUGCAAGUCGAGCGGAUGAGUGGAGCUUGCUCCAUGAUUCAGCGGCGGACGGGUGAGUAAUGCCUAGGAAUCUGCCUGGUAGUGGGGGACAACGUUUCGAAAGGAACGCUAAUACCGCAUACGUCCUACGGGAGAAAGUGGGGGAUCUUCGGACCUCACGCUAUCAGAUGAGCCUAGGUGGAAUUAGCUAGUUGGCGAGGUAAAGGCUCACCAAGGCGACGAUCCGUCACAGGUCGGAGAGGAUGAUCAGCCACAAUGGGACGGAGACACGGUCCAGACUCCUACGGGAGGCAGCAGUGGGGAAUAUUGGACAAUGGGCGAAAGCCUGAUCCAGCCAUGCCGCGUGUGUGCAGAAGGUCUUCGGAUUGUAAAGCACUUUAAGUUGGGAGGAAGGGCAGUAAGUUAAUACCUUGCUGUUUUGACGUUACCAACAGAAUAAGCACCGGCUAACUUCGUGCCAGCCGCCGCGGUAAUAC